rnacentral:tRNA from 1 species
GAGGAUAUAGUUCAGUGGUAAAGGACAUGCUUAGCGUGCAUGAGGUCCUGAGUUCAAUCCCCAGUAUCGUCA